GUUGUAUGGUUAAGUGACUAAGCGUACACGGUGGAUGCCUUGGCAGUCAGAGGCGAUGAAGGACGUAUUAACUUGCGAUAAGCCCAGAUUAGGUAGUAAAAACCAUUUGAGUCUGGGAUUUCCGAAUGGGGAAACCCAAUACCAUAAGGUAUUACUGUUGAGUGAAUACAUAGCUCAACAGGGCGAACCGGGGGAACUGAAACAUCUAAGUACCCCGAGGAAAAGAAAUCAACCGAGAUUCCGAAAGUAGCGGCGAGCGAAAUUGGACUAGCCCUUAAGCUUUACACGCGUUAGACGAACAGCCUGGAAAGGCUGACGAUACAGGGUGAUAGUCCCGUAGUUGACGACGUGUGUUCAGUGAAAUCGAGUAGGGCGGGACACGUGAUAUCCUGUCUGAAUAUGGGGGGACCAUCCUCCAAGGCUAAAUACUACUGACUGACCGAUAGUGAACCAGUACCGUGAGGGAAAGGCGAAAAGAACCCCUGUGAGGGGAGUGAAAUAGAACCUGAAACCGUGUACGU
rnacentral:rRNA from 1 species